AACAAUGGAUAUGUACCAGAAGAUUUAAAAUACAUUGUUAACACGUAAGUUCUAUACAUGCCUAAAAUCUUAAGCAAUCUGCUAACUUUAUCCUUUUCUUUUGUUGUUGAUUAGGACAUAGUAACUGCAUGUAGACAUAGUAAAUUUAUCAACCAAGUGUUAAGAACCAAUGCAUAUUUAUUGUACUUAAUAUAUGUGAAGAUUGAAUAUGAAAAGUUUUGGAAAGAGAGAGUAAGAAUGUUUGAUUUCUUUUGUGGCUGUUUAAUUAUAUAUCGAUUCCUCUAGUUAUGAAUGUGAGACUCAUACAAUACUCUAUUUUUAAAUUUGUAAGUAAAGACACAUUAAAUACCACCAAAUUUGUUUUUUUUUUCUUUCUUUUCCUUAUAUACAUAUUAAAUACAAUUAUAGGUGUUCUGAAUAAGUGUGUGAUAUUUUAUAUGCUAAUUUCACUUUUUGUGUAGGUCGCUCAACAUAGUUAAUAAAAGCUUAACUAACCGCAAUGAUCGUCCCAUUGAGUGGAUAACUCCGAUAUGUCCACAACAACCAGACGGGAAGCAAUGUGGAUAUUAUGUCAUGAAAUUUAUUGAGAGGUUCAUGAACGAAGAAGAUCCAAUACGCCGAGUGAGAGAAAUGGGUAAGAGCGAUCCGUACUCAAAUGACGAGAUGAAUAUUUUGCGUGAUCAGUGGAUUGAAUAUGUUCGAGCACAAGCAGUGCGACAAGGGCUUUUACAAUGAUCAGUUUCUAUUUUUGUUUAUACUUUAUCCUAACUAAUUAGUGACAAUAUACAGUAAAAAUUAAUUAAUGUAGGGAAAAUUUUACUAUGUAAAACAGGAUCUGUUUAACUUUCACUAAUGACAAUAUAUAUACUUUAUCCUAA